CACUGAUUUUUAGAACUGUCAUUCUCAUCAUGUCCAUCUAAAGGGAAGGUUGUGUAGCUGCACACAGAUGUCAGCAGCUUAGUGAAACUCUCUCCUGUAGCUGCAUCACACUCUGCUGCUGCAACAGUCAGCUUCAGCAGGAACUCCACUGCUUCCAUUUUAUAUUCCUUAUCAUCAUAA